rnacentral:rRNA from 1 species
GAAUGCUGACAUAAGUAGCGUAAAAGAGUGUGAAAAACACUCUCACCAAAAAUCUAAGGGUUCCUACGUUAAGUUAAUCUGCGUAGGGUUAGUCGGUUCCUAAGGCAAGUCCGUAAAGGAGUAGUCGAUGGCAAUUAGGUUAAUAUUCCUAAACCUCUUAAGUGUGACGGGUUUUGUAUUUGUAUAGGUCUUAUUGGAUUGAUCUAUGCUUAAAAGAAGCUCCAGGAAAUAGCACUUAUAUUUAUAAGGCCGUACCGUAAACCGACACUGGUGGAUGAGUAGAGUAUACUAAGGUGUUGAAAGAAUGAUGUUGAAGGAACUCGGCAAAUUAUACCUGUAACUUCGGAAGAAGGGUAACCUGCUUUUAGGCAACUAUGAGUAGGUGGCACAAAAUAGGGAGUAGCGACUGUUUAUUAAAAACAUGGCACUGUGCAAACACGAAAGUGGACGUAUACGGUGUGACGCCUGCCCGGUGCUGGAAGGUUAAUAGGAAGAGUGCAAGCUCUUAAUCGAAGCCCCAGUAAACGGCGGCCGUAACUAUAACGGUCCUAAGGUAGCGAAAUUCCUUGUCGGGUAAGUUCCGACCUGCACGAAUGGCGUAAUGAUGGCCACACUGUCUCCAACAUCAUUUCAGCGAAAUUGAAUUCCCCGUGCAGAUGCGGGGUACCCGCGGUUAGACGAAGAGACCCCGUGCACCUUUACUAUAACUUUAUAUUGCUGUUAAAAAUGUGAUGUGCAGGAUAGGUGGGAGACUUUGAAGUUAUGGCGCUAGCUGUAAUGGAGUCGAUCUUGAGAUACCACCUUUUACAUUUUUAAUAUCUAACUAUGUUUCAUUAUCUGAAACUAGGACAGUGUGUGGUGGGUAGUUUGACUGGGGCGGUCUCCUCCUAAAGAGUAACGGAGGAGCGCGAAGGUAAGCUAGAGCUGGUCGGAAAUCAGCUUGAUAGUACAAUGGCAUAAGCUUGCCUGACUGCGAGGCUGACAAGCCAAGCAGAGACGAAAGUAGGUCUUAGUGAUCCGGUGGUUCUGAAUGGAAGGGCCAUCGCUCAACGGAUAAAAGGUACUCCGGGGAUAACAGGCUGAUACCGCCCAAGAGUUCAUAUCGACGGCGGUGUUUGGCACCUCGAUGUCGGCUCAUCACAUCCUGGGGCUGAAGCAGGUCCCAAGGGUAUGGCUGUUCGCCAUUUAAAGUGGUACGCGAGCUGGGUUUAGAACGUCGUGAGACAGUUCGGUCCCUAUCUGCCGUGGGCGAAGGAAGUUUGAGAAGAGCUGACUCUAGUACGAGAGGACCGAGAUGGAUAUACCUCUGGUGUACCAGCUGUUAUGCCAAUAGCAUCGCUGGGUAGCUAUGUAUAGAUGGGAUAAUUGCUGAAAGCAUAUAAGCAAGAAACCCUCUUCAAAAAGAUUUCCCAAUUAAGGCCGUGGGAGACUACCACGUUGAUAGGCUAGGUGUAGAAGCAUGGUAACAUGUGAAGCUAACUGGUACUAAUAGCCUGAUUGAUUUAUUU